UGUGGAUUAAUUCGAUGCAACGUCGAAAAACCUUACCUACCCUUGACAUGUCUGGAACCUUGGUGAGAGGCCGAGGGUGCCUUCGGGAGCCAGAACACAGGUGCUGCAUGGCUGUCGUCAGGCUCGUGUCGUGAGAUGUUGGGUUAAGUCCCGCAACGAGCGCAACCCUUGUCACUAGUUGCCAUCAUUUGGUUGGGCACUCUAGUGAGACUGCCGGUGACAAACCGGAGAAGGUGGGGAUGACGUCAAGUCCUCAUGGCCCUUAUGGGUAGGGCUUCACACGUCAUACAAUGGUCGGUACAGAGGGUUGCCAAGCCGCGAGGUGGAGCCAAUCCCUUAAAGCCGAUCGUAGUCCGGAUCGUAGUCUGCAACUCGACUACGUGAAGUCGGAAUCGCUAGUAAUCGCAGAUCAGCAUGCUGCGGUGAAUACGUUCCCGGGUCUU
rnacentral:rRNA from 1 species